AGGAAAAGAAACUAACAAGGAUUCCCCUAGUAACGGCGAGUGAAGCGGGAAGAGCUCAAAUUUGAAAUCUGGUAGCCUUCGGUUGCCCGAGUUGUAAUCUAGAGAAGUGUUUUCCGCGUUGGCCCAUGUACAAGUCCCUUGGAACAGGGCGUCAUAGAGGGUGAGAAUCCCGUCCUUGACAUGGACCCCCAAUGCUUUGUGAUACACUUUCAACGAGUCGAGUUGUUUGGGAAUGCAGCUCAAAAUGGGUGGUGAAUUCCAUCUAAAGCUAAAUAUUGGCGAGAGACCGAUAGCGAACAAGUACCGUGAGGGAAAGAUGAAAAGCACUUUGGAAAGAGAGUUAAACAGUACGUGAAAUUGUUGAAAGGGAAACGAUUGAAGUCAGUCAUGCUCUUUGGAUUAAGCCGUUCUGCGGUGUAUUUCAUUGAGCGGGGUCAACAUCAGUUUUGAUCGCUGGAAAAGGGCAGGAGGAAGGUAGCACUCUCGGGUGAACUUAUAGCCUCUUGUCGUAUACAGUGAUUGGGACUGAGGAACGCAGCAUGCCUUUUGGCCGGGAUUCGUCCACGUACAUGCUUAGGAUGUUGACAUAAUGGCUUUAAACGACCCGUCUUGA
rnacentral:rRNA from 1 species